UGGACAGUACCAAUCCUCUCU
rnacentral:misc_RNA from 1 species